rnacentral:rRNA from 1 species
AACGCAUAUUGCACUCUCUGGUAAUCCGGAGAGUAUGCCUGUUUGAGGGUCAGUAAAUAGUAAUUAUCAUGAAUCUUUGAUUUAUGGAAUUGGGCUUUUAUUUCGAUAGAUUUAUGGCCUUAAAUUUGCGGGCUUGUCAUUAUAAAAUCUGACCUAAAGUAGCAAUUAAACAUUCUCUCAUUAGCGGAUUUUUACAAGCCGUUGCGAUUUUUGGUUGCUUUCAGCACUUUUGCGAGCGCGAAACCAAGAUCGUAAGCUUACUCUAAAAUGACCUCAAAUCAGGCAAGAAUACCCGCUGAACUUAA